UGGCUCAGAACGAACGCUGGCGGCGCGUUUAAGCAUGCAAGUCGAGCGGCAAGGGCCUUCGGGCCCCUAGAGCGGCGGACGGUGAGUAACACGUGGACAAUCUGCCCCCCGGCCCGGGAUAGCCCAGGGAAACCUGGAUUAAUACCGGAUGAGACGGGACCUGCGAUGGCGGGAUCCGGGAAAGGCGCUACGGCGCCGCCGGGGGAUGAGUCUGCGUCCCAUUAGCUAGACGGCGGGGUAACGGCCCACCGUGGCGACGAUGGGUAGCCGGCCUGAGAGGGUGGACGGCCACAUUGGAACUGAGACACGGUCCAGACUCCUACGGGAGGCAGCAGCUAAGAAUCUUCCGCAAUGGGCGAAAGCCUGACGGAGCGACGCCGCGUGAACGAAGAAGGCCGUGAGGUUGUAAAGUUCUUUCGGGAGGGGGAACAACCGUGGCAGGGAAUGGCCGCGGGAUGACGUGAAUCCCGGAAUAAGCCCCGGCUAACUACGUGCCAGCAGCUGC
rnacentral:rRNA from 1 species